UUUUUGUUGCUAAAAAUUAACUAAUAGCAACACUUUAAAACACAUGUCACAAAAUAUCAAUAUUAGUCACGAAAUUUGUCUUGGCGUCAUUAAAAAAAAUUGUGACGUAUAUACUGACACUACUAAAGGUUAAUAACUUUCAGCAACAUAUUACCUCGUUGUUGAAAGUGCAAAAAAAUUAAGUGAAAACAUUUUGACGAAUUUUUCCCCUCUUGAUUUCCCCCCUCAUUUUUUAAUUUCCCCCAAUUUUCAUUUCCCAAAUUUCCUUCCAUCUUUCCCCUUUGUCCGAUUUUCCCUUCUAUUUUUCCUCCCCUCCCCCUUUCUCCGAUUUCCCCUUCCAUUUUCCCUCAUUUCCACGGUUCGAUUUCCUCAUCGCCACCAACGAAUCAACAGUUGUAGUUUGCCUAAAAACACUGUAUGCCGGUCAUGAUUCUCUCCUCCAACAUUCUUCUUGGUGGUUUCUUCUUUCGACGUCCGCGUGCUAGAGGCACCACUGAAGACCAUUGUGAAGCUUCUUCUUCUUCUUUAAUGGUAGCUAACAUUUGAAUUUGAAAAUUGGAAGCUCCAAUCUCUCUCUCUAUUGUUUCCAGGGUUUCUCUUAUGUGAAUAAAAAUCCCUUGAAUUUUUGGGUCUCCAUGAAACUGAUUUUUCAGGAGGGAUUCCUAGUUCCAUUGAUGAAGUCAGGGCCUUAAGGUUACUCUUAAUGUCGACGUGCAGUGGAAUCCAAUUGACCCUUGCAAGAUCCAAGAUCAAUUUGAGAGAUGUUGUUAUGUUAAUUAACUUUUUUAUUCUCUUAGUGUGGCUUACAAAUUUUGGGUUGUUCGUUUCUAGCACGUUUAAUUGUUGAUCUGUGUACAUUCUAGAAGUUUUAUGAAGAUCUAUAUCAGGAACUGAACAAGAGUACGAGAAGAUUGAAAGUUUGAAUGUUUGUGACAAUCUAGCUGGCCAUUUGGUAAUACUCUCCUAUUUGCCCAUGGUUUGAAGGAAACUGGUUUUAGAAUCAACAUUUCAAUUUUAACAUAUGCUAUUUUUAUUGUAGAAUUAGCUAAUGAGUUUUAUUUAUCUGCUACUUCAUUGUUGCUAUGUUACUGCCUUCUAGCUUUGUUGAUAAGUUAUUCAUGGCUUUGAUGGAAAAUAAUUUAGUUCCUAAUGUUAAUAUUUUUGUUAAUGAGUUUUGUUACGGUUUGUAGUAAUUUUUUCAAUGGGUUGAUAAUUAGCGUGCUAGAAGAAUGUAUCAUGUCAUCCCUACCAUUUUUUAUUUUCACGUACUUAUUACUUUUUUUUUGUUGGCCAUAUUUUAUAUUUCAAUGGCCAGAUUUUUGUUGGCCAGAUCUACAACUAUAUUUUUGUUGUCUAGGAAAUGCUGCAAUGAUUUUGGGAAUACAAUAAAUAAGUGGAGUUCAAACGAGCAAAAUAUGUUCCUUUAAGAGUUCAAGAUGAUAGGA